AUUUCUGCGAAGAAAUAGACGAUUGUCUGCCAGCUUGCAACUAUAUUCGUGCAAUGAUACCUCAGAUUUUCUGAUCCAUUCGAAAUGCAAGAAAACGUGUUUCGUAAUCCUCAUACGGUAAAAACUACGAUAAUUCGUACAAGAAUUUUAACAAGAGAUUAGGACAAAUGAUUUUACGGUAAAAAUAAGAAAAUAUUUCGACCGUUCGUGUUUAUUGGAUUUAGUUUUUAAGAUGUUGUUAAAUAUUGCCUUCGUUCAUUGAUGUUAACGAGAAGGAAUAUAUUAGAUCGACCGUGCAAAUUACCACGUUAGUUUCGUUUUGUAUUCCGAGGACUAAAGAUCGAGAUACUCUCUUUCGUUAUCUUAUAUGUAAAUCCAAUAAUUUGAUAAUUAUUUAAUCAAUGUACAAUGUAUGUUAUUUUUAUGAAAAUCGAAUCAUUAGUUCGUUUUCACGCUAUCUAUGAAAUAAAAUUGUCAGUAUUACAUUUAUUCACAGUUUCUCCUAUAAAAGAAAAAUUUUUGUUUAUAUUUGAUCAUUGUGUAGUAAUAAUAUAUAACGUAGUAUACAAGGUCGUUCCCUGCUUGCGUUUGUAGUUCGUAUAUUGUCCGUAUACGUCGUUGACGUCGCACACAUUUCGUAAUAUCUUUUAAGAAUGACACCAUCUAUAUAAAAUGGAGUUUUGUUGAAGUUUAUUUCUAACCUAAUUAAAACGCAUGAUCGAACGUUGAGAUAUAAAAGUGUAAAAUUAUAAGGAAUAAAGUAGUUGGAAAAAGGAAAUGAGUGAUGUCGAACUACAAGAGGAAGAAAGAGAAGUGCUACAUUCUAUUUAUGAAGGGGAUCCAGCAUUUAAUCAGCUAACACCUACUACUUUUCAAUACAAGUAUGGAGAAGAUAAUGACAUAAAGUCAUUCCUAUUGGAAAUUUCAUGGAGUGCGACAUAUCCAUCUGAAAGGCCAAACAUCAAUAUGAAUACAUUUUACAAUAAGCACAUUGUACAAGAGGUAAAGGAUGAAGUAGUGAAACAGUUAGAAGCGGAAGCAGAUCAAUGGUUAGGUAGUGCCAUGACAUAUACAUUGUUCCAAUAUGUUCAAGAGCAUCUUACAGAAUUGUUAUCUAUGCAACCAGAUUCUGUUGCCGAAAUAAAUUCACAAACCAGUAAACUUAAAAUAUCGAAUGAGAAUCAACAGGCGGAAGAAACUGUAAAAAGGCCAAAGAAAGAACAACUAAGCAAAGCUCAAAAACGUAGGCAAUGGAAUAAAGCGGAUGGAAAAGGAGAAAGACCACGAGGAUGGGAUUGGGUUGAUAUAGUGAAACAUUUAUCACAAACUGGUCCAAAACAAGAACAAGAGUCUUAGUUCAAAUUUUGCAAGACUUUACUGUACAGAUUUAAAAAAGAAAACCUGAUGUUGCGUUAAUGCAGCUCUGGUUGCACCACCAGCCACACCAACAAUAGAUUUCAUUGCGGUUGAAGCACACAAUACGGCCAUUGAAUGAGCUGAGAAAUAAGUUCAAGAUCCUACGAAAUCCGAGAAGCAGAAGAUAAAUCAAAGUUCCAAACAAGGGAAUAUAAAUAAGAACAAAAAGGGUGAAAAUGUGGGGAAAUUAUCUGAACAUAGAAAGAAAUCAAAUUUAUCCUCAGACAUCGGAAGUGCGGAAACACGUGGAAAAAUCCGAAAACAAUCAACGAAUGUUCGUGUGUCAGGGAACUCAGACCGAACAAAAAAGAAGUAACAAUCUUCUAACGAAAGAAGGAAAAUUUAAACACGACAUUUUCGAGAAAGUAUUGAAACGUUUAGGUUAUUGCAUUUUGGACGAUAAAACUAUAAAAUUUAUUGGUCGUUACUCGAAUGAUAAAACGAGAUAUAGUACUGUACGUAAAGUGAAGAGGUCGCCUUUUAUCACUGACAAAGGACCGAAGACCGACGAAAUUUUUUCUUCUAUUAAUAAAGUGAUUAUCUGUAAAGAUUUUUCAACGAACGAAGAUGACAAUUCAAAUUCGGGUAGUAGUAUGGCUACCAUUUACAAGAUUAUCAAGAAAUUCAAUGGGAUUGAUAAAGUAUCAAAGAUCUUUAAGAUGUCCUUGAAGGAAAAAGGUUUCUCCGAUACCUUACGACGUAACAAUCGAUCUACAAAGGCAGAAGAUAAUUUAAAUAAUCCACUGUACUUAACUCUCGAUAAGAAUUUACGAUCGAAAUCGCUCGAAGCGAUUAAAACGAAAUCGUCUCCUAGGAAGAAACAUCCUCUUAAAUUUCUUCGUAAAAUUUGUAUCUGUAUAAAUCUCUAAAGAAUAUGAUCGAAGAGAUAUAUCGAAGUGUGCGAUUGAUUUAUUGAUCGACGAAAAAGAAAAAAGAAAUCAAAAUUUCUCGGGUCGAUCGAUAAAUUCGAGAGCGCCAUCUAGAAAAGCGAUGGUCGUACGAACUACAAAAGUGUAUCCCUGACGAUAGGCUAUAUCCAUACAUGCCUGUACGUAUGGAAAACUUGUGCACGAGUGCAUUUACACGCAGGUAUUAGGUUAGAGUUGGAUAUAGGAGUUGAAACGAAGAGGAUGUAGUUGAACGCACUGGAAUAGCGCGAAUAAACGAUCGAGACGAGAAGUUAGAGGUUCGAAUCCAGCGUCGUUAUCCCCUCCGUUCGUUCCGACCCUCUCGUUUUGCAGUCAACGACUCCACGGAUGGUGCUGCACUUGCGUGCACACUCGUGGAUCGAGGACUACGACGGCGUUGUGCAUACAGAGACGCAAUAGAAAGACACUAGUUGCUACUCCAGAACACUGGGGAGUUAUUGCUAACGUAACAGGAUCACACACACGCACGUACUUACUAAGAGGAUCGUGUACAACAAGAUGAGGAAAAAUAAGAGGAAAUAAAAAUAAUGGAGACUGGCUAGGGACCACUAAAGACCCCGUAGUAGCUAUCCGUAUACUUAGCAAGAUCGUUUUCUUUCAACACUCAGCCUCGAUUCUUUAUAUCCUGUCCUCCUUCAUCCGGUCGAUCUUCAUUUUAGGAACAAGAAGCCUUGGAAGUAUUCAAGUUCCUCUUUUACCCUUUUUGAAAAAUAUCGAUAGAAAUAGCGCGAUGGUCGUUUAAAAUGGAAAAAAAGCGAAACAAAAAAAGAGCAUAAAAACAAAAAAAAAGAAGCAAAGGAAAAAAAAACAAUACAGAAAGAUUGGAAAGGAAUUUCAAUCCCCUUUUACCUACGA